rnacentral:rRNA from 1 species
CAGCCGCCGCGGGAAUACGUAGGGUGCAAGCGCUAAUCGGAAUUACUGGGCGUAAAGCGUGCGCAGGCGGUUAUAUAAGACAGAUGUGAAAUCCCCGGGCUCAACCUGGGACCUGCAUUUGUGACUGUAUAGCUAGAGUACGGUAGAGGGGGAUGGAAUUCCGCGUGUAGCAGUGAAAUGCGUAGAUAUGCGGAGGAACACCGAUGGCGAAGGCAAUCCCCUGGACCUGUACUGACGCUCAUGCACGAAAGCGUGGGGAGCAAACAGGAUUAGAUACCCGCGUAGUCCCUGUCUCUUAUAU